UACAGAGGUCCCAAGCGUUGUUCGGAUUCACUGGGCGUAAAGGGUGCGUAGGUGGCUUGGUAAGUUUGAUGUGAAAUCUCCGGGCUUAACCCGGAAAUGGCAUUGAAUACUAUUGAGCUGGAGGUUUGGAGGGGGGACUGGAAUUCUCGGUGUAGCAGUGAAAUGCGUAGAUAUCGAGAGGAACACCAGUGGCGAAGGCGGCUCGCUGGGCCAUACCUGACGCUGAGACGCGAAAGCGUGGGGAGCAAACAGG
rnacentral:rRNA from 1 species